rnacentral:rRNA from 1 species
AGAGCAAGAGCCCGGAGAUGGAUUCUGAGACACGAAUCCAGGCCCUACGGGGUGCAGCAGGCGCGAAAACUUUACAAUGCUGGCAACAGCGAUAAGGGAACCUCGAGUGCCAGGUUACAAAUCUGGCUGUCGAGAUGCCUAAAAAGCAUUUCAUAGCAAGGGCCGGGCAAGACCGGUGCCAGCCGCCGCGGUAACACCGGCGGCUCGAGUGGUAACCGUUAUUAUUGGGUCUAAAGGGUCUGUAGCCGGCCGGAUAAGUCUCUUGAGAAAUCUGGCAGCUUAACUGUCAGGCUUUCAGGAGAUACUGUCUGGCUCGAGGCCGGGAGAGGUGAGAGGUACUUCAGGGGUAGGGGUGAAAUCUUGUAAUCCUUGAAGGACCACCAGUGGCGAAGGCGUCUCACCAGAACGGACCUGACGGCAAGGGACGAAAGCUAGGGGCACGAACCGGAUUAGAUACCCGGGUAGUCCUAGCCGUAAACGAUACUCGCUAGGUGUCGGCCACGGUGCGACCGUUGUCGGUGCCGUAGGGAAGCCGUGAAGCGAGCCACCUGGGAAGUACGGCCGCAAGGCUGAAACUUAAAGGAAUUGGCGGGGGAGCACCACAACGGGUGGAGCUUGCGGUUUAAUUGGAUUCAACGCCGGAAAUCUUACCGGGACCGACAGCAAUAUGAAGGCCAGGCUGAAGACUUUGCCGGAUUAGCUGAGAGGUGGUGCAUGGCCGUCGUCAGUUCGUACUGUGAAGCAUCCUGUUAAGUCAGGUAACGAGCGAGACCCA